rnacentral:rRNA from 1 species
AAACAGGGAUUGCCCUAGUAACGGCGAGUGAAGCGGCAACAGCUCAAAUUUGAAAUCUGGCUCUUUCAGAGUCCGAGUUGUAAUUUGCAGAGGGCGCUUUGGCGUUGGCAGCGGUCCAAGUUCUUUGGAACAGGACGUCACAGAGGGUGAGAAUCCCGUACGUGGUCGCUAGCCUUCGCCGUGUAAAGCCCCUUCGACGAGUCGAGUUGUUUGGGAAUGCAGCUCUAAAUGGGAGGUAAAUUUCUUCUAAAGCUAAAUACUGGCCAGAGACCGAUAGCGCACAAGUAGAGUGAUCGAAAGAUGAAAAGCACUUUGGAAAGAGAGUCAAAUAGCACGUGAAAUUGUUGAAAGGGAAGCGCUUGCAGCCAGACUUGCCUGUAGUUGCUUAUCCGGACUUUUGUCCGGUGCACUCUUCUGCGGGCAGGCCAGCAUCAGUUUGGGCGGUUGGAUAAAGGUCUCUGUCAUGUACCUCCUUUCGGGGAGGCCUUAUAGGGGAGACGACAUACAACCAGCCUGGACUGAGGUCCGCGCAUCUGCUAGGAUGCUGGCGUAAUGGCUGUAAGCGGCCCGUCUUGAAACACGGACCAAGGAGUCUAACAUCUAUGCGAGUGUUUGGGUGUCAAGCCCAGACGCGUAAUGAAAGUGAACGGAGGUGGGAACCUUUUAGGUGCACCAUCGACCGAUCCUGAUGUCUUCGGAAGGAUUUGAGUAAGAGCAUGGCUGUUGGGACCCGAAAGAUGGUGAACUAUGCUUGAAUAGGGUGAAGCCAGAGGAAACUCUGGUGGAGGCUCGCAGCGGUUCUGACGUGCAAAUCGAUCGUCAAAUUUGGGCAUAGGGGCGAAAGACUAAUCGAACUAUCUAGUAGCUGGUUCCUGCCGAAGUUUCCCUCAGGAUAGCAGUAACGUAUUCAGUUUUAUGAGGUAAAGCGAAUGAUUAGAGGCCUGGGGGUUGAAACAACCUUCACCUAUUCUCAAACUUUAAAUAUGUAAGAAGUCCUUGUUACUUGAUUGAACGUGGACACUUGAAUGUACCGUUACUAGUGGGCCAUUUUUGGUAAGCAGAACUGGCGAUGCGGGAUGAACCGAACGCGGGGUUAAGGUGCCAGAAUAUACGCUCAUCAGACACCACAAAAGGUGUUAGUUCAUCUAGACAGCAGGACGGUGGCCAUGGAAGUCGGAAUCCGCUAAGGAGUGUGUAACAACUCACCUGCCGAAUGAACUAGCCCUGAAAAUGGAUGGCGCUCAAGCGUAUUACCCAUACCCCGCCGCCGGGGCAGAAUUUAUGCCCCGGCGAGUAGGCAGGCGUGGAGGCUCGUGACGAAGCCUUGGGGGUGACCCCGGGUCGAACGGCCUCUAGUGCAGAUC